rnacentral:rRNA from 1 species
GAUGAACGCUGGCGGCGUGCCUAAUACAUGCAAGUCGAGCGAACAGACGAGGAGCUUGCUCCUCUGACGUUAGCGGCGGACGGGUGAGUAACACGUGGAUAACCUACCUAUAAGACUUGGAUAAGUUCGGGAAACCGGAGCUAAUACCGGAUAAUAUAUUUAACCGCAUGGUUCAAUAGUGAAAGACGGUUUUGCUGUCACUUAUAGAUGGAUCCGCGCCGCAUUAGCUAGUUGGUACGGUAACGGCUUACCAAGGCGAGGAUGCGUAGCCGACCUGAGAGGGUGAUCCGCCCCACUGGAACUGGGACACGGUCCAGACUCCUAGGGGAGGCAGCAGCAGCGAAUCUUGCGAAAUGGGCGAAAGCCUGACGGAGCAACGCCGCGUGAGUGAUGAAGGUCUUCGGAUCGGAAAACUCUGUUAUUAGGGAAGAACAAAUGUGUAAGUAACUAUGCACGUCUUGACGGUACCUAAUCAGAAAGCCACGGCUAACUACGUG